CAGUCCCGGGGGGCGGGGAGGGGGGUGUCAAAGGGGGGGUACACAGCCGGGAAGGUGAGAGACAGCGAUGCUCUCUCCAAGGACCUGGAGCAAAAACCUUUGUCCCGCAGAUUUAACCAGCAGAUUCCCCAGGCUGAACCCCUCCGCUGGGCUGAAUUUAGCAGCAGAAGAGAUAACCCAGAGAUAAGGACUGAUACCCGGGAGGACAGCGGGAGACCGGCAGGCGGCCGAGGAAAGGGGGAGAAGCCGGAGGCAGCGUUGGAAAGGGCUGCGUAUCCAGAUGUGCUGGGCUUCGGACACUCC